UCCUAUAUAGACCCUGAGGUAACAACAGGUACAGUAUCCUAUAUAGACCCUGAGGUAACAACAGGUACAGAACCCUAUAUAGACCCUGAGGUAACAACAGUUACAGGACCCUAUAUAGACCCUGAGGUAACAACAGGUACAGGACCCUAUAUAGACCCCGAGGUAACAACAGGUACAGGACCCUAUAUAGACCCUGAGGUAACAACAGGUACAGAACCCUAUAUAGACCCUGAGGUAACAACAGGUACAGGACCCUAUAUAGACCCUGAGGUAACAACAGGUACAGGACCCUAUAUAGACCCUGAGGUAACAACAGUUACAGGACCCUAUAUAGACCCUGAGGUAACAACAGGUACAGGACCCUGAGGUAACAACGGGUACAGGACCCUAUAUAGACCCUGAGGUAACAACAGGUACAGGACCCUAUAUAGACCCUGAGGUAACAACAGGUACAGGACCCUAUAUAGACCCUGAGGUAACAACAGGUACAGGACCCUAUAUAGACCCUGAGGUAACAACAGUUACAUGACCCUAUAUAGACCCUGAGGUAACAACAGGUACAGGACCCUGAGGUAACAACAGGUACAGGACCCUAUAUAGACCCUGAGGUACAACAGGUACAGGACCCUAUAUAGACCCUGAGGUAACAACAGUUACAGGACCCUAUAUAGACCCUGAGGUAACAACAGUUACAGGACCCUGAGGUAACAACAGGUACAGGACCCUAUAUAGACCCUGAGGUAACAACAGGUACAGGACCCUAUAUAGACCCUGAGGUAACAACAGUUACAUGACCCUAUAUAGACCCUGAGGUAACAACAGGUACAGUAUCCUAUAUAGACCCUGAGGUAACAACAGGUACAGGACCCUAUAUAGACCCUGAGGUAACAACAGUUACAGGACCCUAUAUAGACCCUGAGGUAACAACAGGUACAGGACCCUGAGGUAACAACAGGUACAGGACCCUAUAUAGACCCUGAGGUAACAACAGUUACAGGACCCUGAGGUAACAACAGGUACAGGACCCUAUAUAGACCCUGAGGUAACAACAGGUACAGGACCCUAUAUAGACCCUGAGGUAACAACAGUUACAGGACCCUGAGGUAACAACAGGUACAGGACCCUAUAUAGACCCUGAGGUAACAACAGGUACAGGACCCUAUAUAGACCCUGAGGUAACAACAGGUACAGGACCCUAUAUAGACCCUGAGGUAACAACAGGUACAGGACCCUAUAUAGACCCUGAGGUAACAACAGUUACAGGACCCUGAGGUAACAACAGGUACAGGACCCUAUAUAGACCCUGAGGUAACAACAGGUACAGGACCUUAUAUAGACCCUGAGGUAACAACAGUUACAGGACCCUGAGGUAACAACAGGUACAGGACCCUAUAUAGACCCUGAGGUAACAACAGGUACAGGACCUUAUAUAGACCCUGAGGUAACAACAGGUACAGGACCCUGAGGUAACAACAGGUACAGGACCCUAUAUAGACCCUGAGGUAACAACAGUUACAGGACCCUGAGGUAACAACAGGUACAGGACCCUAUAUAGACCCUGAGGUAACAACAGGUACAGGACCUUAUAUAGACCCUGAGGUAACAACAGUUACAGGACCCUGAGGUAACAACAGGUACAGGACCCUAUAUAGACCCUGAGGUAACAACAGGUACAGGACCCUAUAUAGACCCUGAGGUAACAACAGUUACAUGACCCUAUAUAGACCCUGAGGUAACAACAGGUACAGGACCCUGAGGUAACAACAGGUACAGGACCCUAUAUAGACCCUGAGGUAACAACAGGUACAGGACCCUAUAUAGAUUAAACUGGUCUGGUCUUGUUCCUUGUACAUGUAGUGGGAUUAAACUGGUCUGGUCUUGUUCCUAGUAAAUUUAGUGGGAUUAA